GGCGCACGGGUGAGUAACACGUAUCCAACCUGCCGUCUACUCUUGGACAGCCUUCUGAAAGGAAGAUUAAUACAAGAUGGCAUCAUGAGUCCGCAUGUUCACAUGAUUAAAGGUAUUCCGGUAGACGAUGGGGAUGCGUUCCAUUAGAUAGUAGGCGGGGUAACGGCCCACCUAGUCUUCGAUGGAUAGGGGUUCUGAGAGGAAGGUCCCCCACAUUGGAACUGAGACACGGUCCAAACUCCUACGGGAGGCAGCAGUGAGGAAUAUUGGUCAAUGGGCGAGAGCCUGAACCAGCCAAGUAGCGUGAAGGAUGACUGCCCUAUGGGUUGUAAACUUCUUUUAUAAAGGAAUAAAGUCGGGUAUGUAUACCCGUUUGCAUGUACUUUAUGAAUAAGGAUCGGCUAACUCCGUGCCAGCAGCCGCGGUAAUACGGAGGAUCCGAGCGUUAUCCGGAUUUAUUGGGUUUAAAGGGAGCGUAGAUGGAUGUUUAAGUCAGUUGUGAAAGUUUGCGGCUCAACCGUAAAAUUGCAGUUGAUACUGGAUAUCUUGAGUGCAGUUGAGGCAGGCGGAAUU
rnacentral:rRNA from 1 species